UACGUAGGGUGCGAGCGUUUGUCCGGAAUUAUUGGGCGUAAAGAGCUUGUAGGCGGUUUGUCGCGUCUGCUGUGAAAAUCCGGGGCUCAACCCCGGACUUGCAGUGGGUACGGGCAGACUAGAGUGUGGUAGGGGAGACUGGAAUUCCUGGUGUAGCGGUGAAAUGCGCAGAUAUCAGGAGGAACACCGGUGGCGAAGGCGGGUCUCUGGGCCGAAACUGACGCUGAGGAGCGAAAGCGUGGGGAGCAAACAGG
rnacentral:rRNA from 1 species